rnacentral:rRNA from 1 species
AUUGAACGCUGGCGGCAGGCUUAACACAUGCAAGUCGAACGAGUGGCGAACGGGUGAGUAACGCAUCGGAACGUACCGAGUAAUGGGGGAUAACUGUCCGAAAGGACAGCUAAUACCGCAUAUUAUUCGAGCGGCCGAUGUCUGAUUAGCUGGUUGGCGGGGUAAAGGCCCACCAAGGCGACGAUCAGUAGCGGGUCUGAGAGGAUGAUCCGCAACACUGGGACUGAGACACGGCCCAGACUCCUACGGGAGGCAGCAGUGGGGAAUUUUGGACAAUGGGCGCAAGCCUGAUCCAGCCAUGCCGCGUGUCUGAAGAAGGCCUUCGGGUUGUAAAGGACUUUCGGUAGCGAGGCGUUAACUACAGAAGAAGCACCGGCUAACUCCGUGCCAGCAGCCGCGGUAAUAC